CAGGAUCUAGUCAUCGGCCACCGCGCCGACCGCUGAUCUCCGGCACCGGCACCGCCGUCUGCGGUGGCCGAAAAAGGGAAAAUCCCCUAUUCGGUUCCUUUGGCCUCUCUGAACCCAAAUCUGGGUUUGGAAUUUUCAAACUAUCGACGAAAACCGCUAUGACGUCAAGGAAAGCCUUCGGUUUCUGGCCACCGAUCCUCGGCGUGGCUCCGUCAAACGCUUCAGUGCUGCUUCAGAGUCCAAAGAAAGGUGGUUUCUUUAGUUUUUCUCUUAUAUUUGCUUUUUUAUCUAUUACAGUACACACACAAAAAAACAAAAUCGAAAAACAGUAAAAAAUAUUGACCUUUGAUUGUUUUUUUUCUUCGUAUUGAAUUUCUCUGAUCUUUGCUAUGAAAACAAUUGCUUUCUUUUUCUUAUUGAAUCUUCUCCCCCCAUUUACAAAUUUGAAUCAGCCUUAUAUAGUCAAAAUUAUAAAAAAAAAAAUCAAGUCUCUAUCUUUGCUAUUUGCUAUUUUUUGCAGUUUCUUUGCAUCUGUUUUGCCGUUUAUUGCGCAGGUUAGCUGGAGGUGAGACGCACGUGGUGGAGGCCGAUGCGUGUGCGGAGAGGAGCCUGGCUUGGCUGCGGCGCAAAUUGUUCCAGAAACCCUAGGGGUUUCUGGAUGCUUCAAGAAAAUGGGCCACUUCGAGUUAUGCUAGGGUUUGGGUCUAUAAUUGGUUAUUGGGCCGCGAUUUUAGUUGAGUUAUAAAUGGAUUAACAGUUUGUAAAUAGACUGGACACUUAUUUGGUUUUAUUUAUUUUUUUGAUCGGCCCGGGCUAAAAUUGGG
rnacentral:lncRNA from 1 species